CUCUGUCUUUGCCUAUGGGGAUUCGAG
rnacentral:piRNA from 1 species